AAUAUUAGUCAAUGCUCGCAAGAGUGAACGAGCUAACUGAAAGAAUAUACAAUCUAAAGUUAGGAAAAUUAUAAAAUAUAUUAUAAUUUUAAAGACGAAUCUAACUAACAGUGUCGUCCAAAUCUGGUGCCAGAAGACUCGGUAAUACCAGAGACGCGAACGUUAAUCAUCUUGAAUGGGCAUAAAGGGUUUGUAGGCGGCUUAUUUUUAUUUUUUAAUAGGCUAGAAUCUUAAAGAGGUAAAUAAAAUACUUAGAGGAGGGCUGAUAUCCUUAGAUCCUAAGUGGAAUCCUAAAUGCGAAGGCAAUUUACCAAUACUGAUUGACGCUGAGAAACGAAGGUUAGGAAAGGAACUAGGAUUAGAGACCCUAUUACCCCUAACUGUAAACGAUGAAUGGAAGAUAUUUACAAAACUGUAAGUGUCGAAGUGAAUACGUUAACCAUUCCGCCUUGCUAGUAUACUUGCAAAAGUGAAAACAAAAAAAUUAGUCGGUCCUAAAGCAAACGAAGUGAAGCAUGUUAUUUAA
rnacentral:rRNA from 1 species